CUAAGCUAUGAGUAUUAUCAAGACUGAGUUGAGGAAUAAGAUGGGUGAUGAUUGGUUGAAUUAUUCCAUGGUGUGCAAUAUUGAGCGAGAAAUAUUUGCAAAGGUUGAUGAUGAUGCUAUUAUAUAUCGCUUUCAAGCCUAUAGAUUUCGCAAAGGAACUUUACCUCCUCGUAGUAGUGUUGGCUCUUCUUCCACCGUUGAUCAAGUUAUGGAAGACACUGAUGAAGCAAACCAUUGAUUUGGUACUCUUUUUACUGCACGUACUGUUUGUAGUUCUUGUCAUUUUUUAUCUAUUUUGUUGUAUCAUUAAGCAUUGAGUUUAAAUUCUAAAUUUUGGGUACAAUUGAGCCAUAUUUGAGGUAUUCUUUUGA